rnacentral:rRNA from 1 species
UACGUAGGGGGCAAGCGUUAUCCGGAUUUACUGGGUGUAAAGGGAGCGUAGACGGCAGGGCAAGUCUGGAGUGAAAGGCAGGGGCCCAACCCCUGGACUGCUCUGGAAACUGUCCGGCUGGAGUGCAGGAGAGGUAAGUGGAAUUCCUAGUGUAGCGGUGAAAUGCGUAGAUAUUAGGAGGAACACCAGUGGCGAAGGCGGCUUACUGGACUGUAACUGACGUUGGGGCUCGAAAGCGUGGGGAGCAAACAGG